UCUGUGCGGAUACGUUUCAAAAGAGCUAUUUUGAAUAUUGCCUAUGCAAACAUUCAGAGGACAUGAUGUCAGAAGUUGACUCUUUUUGCUGUCCAGCCUGUCAACCUGACAUGUUGGCAGUGUGUUGCGAUGGCAACCGAAAACAUUACCGCUUCAGAAAAUCAAGAGGAACUGAGGAACCGUCUUUAUAUGAGGGCUUGUUUAUAGCCAAAGAUGACGAAGUUCUGAGCUUUCUGGAGAAAAUCAGAGGAAGCAGCGGGGCAAGAGUACUGGCCCUACCUAAGCAAGGUGGCUGAUAAUUUCACCGAUAUGCAGCCGUUGAUGGAAAUGAGACCAUUUCUGAGUGUCAUGCACGCCAAAGCACACACAGCAAAAUGCGAGGUGAGAUGGGGUGGCAGGAAUCAGGAUGGAGCAGGGAACACUGUCGGAGAGGAAGUUGAGCAAGUAAACAGCUUCCUCUCCAGGGCAGCUCUUGUAACUAAAUACAUGACAAAGGCAGGGAGAGAAAAUAUGUUGACUCAACAGGCCAUGGAGUGGAACAAAAAAAAGACAGCGAACCUUCACAAAGUCUUGGCCAACAGAUACAUCAAAGUAAGGACAUUUUGCAAUGUUCCUCUUGCCUGACACAAUAUACAUUUUAACAACAAACAGCAUAUCUGGAGUUUGGCCAUCUGUAAUAAGCUCAU